rnacentral:rRNA from 1 species
AGGAGAGUUUGAUCAUGGCUCAGAUUGAACGCUGGCGGCAGGCCUAACACAUGCAAGUCGAGCGGUAACAGGACUAGCUUGCUAGUUGCUGACGAGCGGCGGACGGGUGAGUAACGCGUAGGAAUCUACCAAGUAGUGGGGGAUAAGCCAGAGAAAUUUGGUCUAAUACCGCAUACGUUCUUCGGAAGAAAGGAGGGGAUCUUCGGACCUUUCGCUAUUUGAUGAGCCUGCGUGAGAUUAGCUUGUUGGUGAGGUAAGAGCUCACCAAGGCGACGAUCUCUAGCUGGUCUGAGAGGAUGAUCAGCCACACUGGGACUGAGACACGGCCCAGACUCCUACGGGAGGCAGCAGUGGGGAAUAUUGCACAAUGGGCGCAAGCCUGAUGCAGCCAUGCCGCGUGUGUGAAGAAGGCCCUAGGGUUGUAAAGCACUUUCAGCAGUGAGGAAAGGUGUGUGGUUAAUACCCGCAUACUGUGACGUUAACUGCAGAAGAAGCACCGGCUAACUCCGUGCCAGCAGCCGCGGUAAUACGGAGGGUGCGAGCGUUAAUCGGAAUUACUGGGCGUAAAGCG